AUUUAAUUUCCUUUUAGUGACUAAAUUUUAGUUGGCAAUUAUAAUUAAAAAUUUUAAAAAUUGAACUUCAGAUUUUAGAGGGAAAAUUAAUUGGCUACUAAUUAUUUCGUCGAAGGAAAGGCCUUUAUUUAUUAUUGGCAACUAAAAAAGUUAGUCGGGAAAGAAAAUAAACUAGGUUUAAAAAAUACACUCCCACACGCUCCAACUCUCUCAUACAUCUGUGUCUGUCUCUCACUUUGUGACUCUCUUUCUCUCUCACGCCUCUACUAUCCUCCGGCUCUCUCUCUCUCUCUCUUUCUCUCUCUCUCUCUCUUUCUUUCUCGCUUUUGUCUCCAUCGUUAACAGAGCAUCAUCGCCAUCGCACACGAGCACCACCGUCGAUCCACCAUUGGAGCAUUACCCCAGGUAUGUCUUCUCUAUUUUGCCCUCUCUCUGUCGUUCAGUCUCUAUUCCCCUAAUUCAUCCUCUAGGGUUUUCUUCUUUCGUUUGCAUAGCUUCACCCAAACCCAACCCCAAAUCGACCCAUGUUAAGGUUGAGGCAUCUGUUCAUUCAUUGUCCUUGGAUAUGGAGGAUAUGGGUUGAAUUACUAGAAUGGUGGAAUGUUCGCUGGGUUAUACCAUAAUCUUUUUCAAAUUUGUCACGCUGGGGGUUUGGGUUUAAAUUUGGGAAGCUGGAAAAGAAGAUGUGGAGGCCAUGGUUUGGUCAAUUUAGAAGGCUUGUAAUGACCUCAAGUUUAAUGGAAUUCAAGUCAGAUGGGAAUCUUUGGUUCAAAAUUGCUUUGUGGGUCAAAUAUAAGUGCAAGGAUAUGGUCUUUGCGGUGAAUGAUCUACUGUUUAACUUGGCAGCGGUGAGAGGUUUUAGGAUGUAGUUGGUGUUUGGCUUGUUCUCUUUGUUUUUUUCUAACUACUGCUCUUUCUUGUUUGUUUUUCUCUACCUACUGCUCUAACUUGACCUGUUUCGUCCAUGCUUGUAUUUGUUGUUGUCUUCUGACCCUUUUGCUCACCAUGUGUUUGACGAAAUGUUCAAAUGAAACUGGACAAUGCUCAUGUGUUUGACAUCUAUUUAUGAGGUUUGGUAGUGCCCAGAUUGAAUUUAAUUGUUUUUUUUUAAUUACCUGUUCAUGAGUUGUUAUUAGGUGCAAUUUCAAUUUGAGAUUGAAUUUCAUUUUUUUCCAGUUUUGUGAGUUGUUAUUAGGUACAAUGCUCAUGAGAUUGAAUUUCAGUUUUUUUUAAUUACUUGUUCAUGAGCUGUUAUUAGGUUCAAUUUUAGAUGAUAAAAUAACAUGCCAAUGGUUCUUCACUACAUUGUCAGUUCUUCCUGGGAAAAGCCUAGCAAUCAUGGCCCACUUGUUUCCAUAUAGCCUACGAGCAGCCAUUAGUCUAUCUUUUUCCUCUUCAGUAAAAGCUUUUCUGUUGAUCCUUGGGUCCAAUUGGUUGAACCAUCUCAGCCUACAACUCUUACCUUCAUUGAAGUGUAAAUUAAUGGCUUCAUUGAAGUGUGAUGAAGCCAUAGAUCUCUUAAAGAGCACUGAUACAACUGUUAUUUUUGGUUAGAAACUAGUGGACCCAACAAAGAUUGAUCGCUAGAUUGUCGUGAACUUUUCAGCUUGCUGUGAUAUCCAUGGCCUCGUUAGAGAUUUGAUCAAAUGUGGAGACAUGAAGGGAAUUCAAAUUGAUGCUCUGUUCGAUGUAUUUGAAGAGAGUCCACAAAAUAGGUGCCCCACCUCUUGUUAGAGUGGAAAAAAUGUUUGAAGAUAUACAAUCCAAACUUCUUGGGGCUCCUCAAUUUCUUCUCUAUCUGCUUCCAGAGAGGAAGAGUUCUGAUCUAUAUGGUCCAUGGAAAUGAAAGAAUCUUGUUGACUUUGGCAUUGUCACUCAGUGCAUUGCACCUACAAGAGUUAAUGACCAGUAUCUUACUAAUGUUCUCCUUAAGAUCAAUACGAAGGUGAGGUAAUUACUGUAUGGAGGUGUGACUUCCUCAAUGAGACAAGAAUUCCCUCAAUUUUCAGAUUAUAAGUUUGGACAUUCUGAGACAAGCAUUCCCUCAAUUUUCAGAUUACAAGUUUGGCAUUUAGAUCAAUGGCUUCAUUGUUAAAUUAAGCAAGUGUUUUAGUAAAUAAAUUUAAUUUUCCCAUCAUGUUUACACCUUCAAAAUAUUCUGUAAAUGACAUUUGAUGUAGAAUUGUGUGUACAGAGGACAUAUUUUUUGUAUGAUUAUCUGUUUGUAUGGAAUUAUUAUUUUGGGUUGGAUUAUAUUUGAUUUGUAUA